CAGCAUACAAUGCUUUCCUAAACAAAAUACAGACUGUUCCAGUUGUUUAUGCACCAGCUCUGGGAACACCACAGCCAGGUUCUUAUACCUCCACGUGUUCUCCUCCCUUCAUGAAUUCACAACCCACACUGGCUCAGAGUCGGCUACAACAUUGGUUAUGGAGUAUAAGGCACUGACCUACGUUUGGAUGAUAAAUCUCCUUUAACUGUAAGGGAAUGGAGACUUCUAGCCCUGGGCAAAGAGCCUGAGCCUAGCAGCAACCUCUACAACUAAGCCUCCAAACAAGGCUUCUGAGCAUUUUAAAUAAAGGAUUUUUUUUUUUUU